rnacentral:misc_RNA from 1 species
AAAAUAGGCAGCUAUCUACUUUUUCAUGCUUCAAGCCAGGUUUAAUGGGCUUAAAUGUGAGAAGACAUGUUAUAAAACAUACUUUUGAAUCCUAAUCUACAAACCUAAACUUUUACAUUAAAUGGCUCACUAGCUGCAAAGGUUGUUACUGUGAAUACUUGAUUUACAAUGCAAAAUCAGGGACCAACACAUUAAAAACAUUGAUGUACAAAAAGCAAAUGGAGCUCCAAUUAUUUGCAUUGGCAUUAGCAGCAAAAAUUUCCCUAAGGAAAAGGUAAAAAAUUCAGUGUAUCCAAAAGUGGGUCAAAGGCAUAAGACACACUAAGGCCAAAGG